CAAAAUUGAAAACCUAACUUAAUAGUAUGCAUCUGUAACAAUAGCUGAGGGUUGACCAAUCCCAGCGGCCAUACUUCAACCACUCAUAGACUGCUGAGUUUUAAAACUGCCUUCAAAUAAGGCAAAUGCGGAGCUAUAACCAAUCUCACUGUUUCUAUACCUCACUUUCGAUUCCUGUACAUCACUUUACCUUUGUUGUCUACAAAUUUGUUCUGACCACGAGGCACCCUUGGAGUCUCUGUGAAUCUGCUGGGAUUCUGGGGGCUGCUAGAUUCACAAAUCGUUCAUUGCUCAAUUAAAUUUCUUUAGAUUUAAUUUGGUUGAAGUUUUUCUUUUAUCAGAUGGCGUCAGAAGCGGGAACCAAAGUGGAGCUUCUAGCGACCCGCAGGAGUGCUGAGUGAACAGCAAGGAACCUGCAGGAUCCACUUGUGUCCCUUGUCUCUCAGAGCCGCUGGGGAUCAUGGGUUUUCCAUGCAAGGGAGCUGAUGUUAUUAUACCAGUAGUUUAUUAUGCUACAGUGUAUUUUCACUAGUAAAUAAAGCUUUUUAUGGUUCACUGAGGACAGUUCCUUCACAGUCUAGAGCCUGAAGAUUGGAUCUUCUGAGAACAUCUGAGGAAGACUGUCCUUGCCAUCCACACUACAGCAAAACUUUGGCCCCUUGAAUUUUGGGUUUAUAAUCUCACAACUGAGAAGGUUCCUUCCACACUCCUGGAACUGUACACCCAUUGGAACCCUUAAGGUAAAACUAACCAGGGAAGUUUCUCCCCAGAAGAAGAUGGAAUACUUGAUGUGAACAGCUUUUCCCAAGAUCAUGGAUCAAAACUUCAACUACCAUAAGACUCUUAUCUUUGAAUAUUUUUUCCUUGUUAUGUCUCUAUGAACAACAAUAGAAGUGAAAAGGGGUUCCAUUAUGUGCAAUUAUAGUGUAUACUUUUCUUUGUGAAGGAUUUUCCAGCCAGUCUUAUACAUGAAUAAACUUAUACUUCAAUAGAUAAAAGAUGAAGGCCCAAUAUAGGCGAGAAACUUUAGUGGUGCAUAUGUUGCCUCAUAAUCAGUCAAAACUCCUCUUAACCCAUAUCAUGAAUUAAAGAGAACUUUAUCAGGAGGCCUUCACUCUUCUAGAAGGACAUCAUUUAUUAAGUUCUUUUUCCAUGGUUUAGAAUAAAAAAGGCCAUAAUCAGAAAUGUCUCCCUCAUAAUAGGCUCAACAGCAAAUUACACUAUAAAGGAUAUUGUUACACAACAAACUUUAAAUUGUCCUGUGAAAGUUAUGCUAAAUAAUAGAUUGGCUAAACAGAAAAGCACAUGUGCAGCUGCUGACACUUGUGGCCUAUGGAGAAAUACACCAAAUGUAAAAUAUAAAAAUUCAGUUGCAGGGGAUUAAUGAAAGACCACUUAGUCAAGUGAGUAGACUUUGCACCUAGCUCAUUCUUUAAUCUAUUUAAUUUGUUUUGUUUUACGGGGACCCUGGGUAAGGAUAACUCCAAACUCUUGGUGUUAUCCUCCAGAUAUUCAUAGUAAUAGUUUCCCUGAUGCACUGUAUUUUUCUCAAAGGCUUUAAAUGUUUGCAUGCAGCCAUCUCUAGAAUGUCAAGUGCUUUCUCUUCAACUAGAAUGACGAAAGCUGAAAGAAAUGUGCUACCAUGAGGACACCGUAACUUAUGAGUGACAUGCUGAGACUAGAAACCCAAAAUGAUGGUAACUGAGAGUGGUGCUAAGGCCCUAAGCUUUGGUCACACUUUCAUCUAAGUGAGAACCUGAGCAAAAAGGGGGAAUUUUUUUUAAACAAAAUUAUGGGAGGCCAUUAUUUUGGACUAAGCUCAUGGGCGAGGCCCUAGCAAACCAAACCAAAUGAAAAUGGAGUCACUUGUGCUAAAUGUGACAUAAUCAAACUAAGGCUUCAAGAAAACACUUAGAUCCUAGAACAAAACAGGUUUUGUUUUUCUCCUGUAAAUAAGAUGUUCCAGCACAAGGAGGUACCCUCUACUCAGUCCUUAUUCUCUCCUUACAAACCUCACUGUUUCCCAGUGGGUUUCAAAACUGUAUAAGUACAUUUAUGACAGUGAUAGUAACAUCAAUGACUAAGGUUUCAAUCAAUCUCUCAAAAUUGAGGAAAUGAACAAAAAGGGGGAAUUGUUAAAAAAAAAAUAAACUAAAUAUGGCCUGAGAAGGACUCCAUACUUCUAUAUUUGUGUCCUUGUAGAUGAAUUGUAACCUAGCUUGUCAGACAAAAUUGAAAACCUAACUUAAUAGUACACACCCGUAAUAAUAGCUGAGUGUUGGCCAAUCCCAGUGGCCCAUACUUCAACCACUCAUAGACUGCUGAAUGUUCAAACUGUGUUUAAGUAAGGCAAAUGCUGAGCUGUAACCAAUCUCACUGUUUCUGUACCUCACUUCCAAUUCCAACUCACUGUCACUUUAACUUUUUUGUCUAUAAAUUUAUUCUGACCACGAGGCACUCCUG
rnacentral:lncRNA from 1 species